CUACGGCUGCCGGAGAAGCCGUUGGGGCUGGCGAGGUGGCGGGUCGCGGGUCGUAGCCGAGGGCGGCGCUGAUGCGGUUGGUCUGAGGGGCGGCUGCUGAGGCGGCGGCGGGUGAGGCAGCCGCCCGGCCUGAGGGAGAGAGAGAGAGAAAAGCGCAGGAUGUGGGCUUCCGCCGCGUCUCGCUUCCUGGGAGCGCGCUUCCUCGGAGGGGCUCCCCCGGGGCUGAGGCGCUCCCUCGGCGCCUUUCCCGUUCAGGCCUCUCCUCCUUCGCCCGGCCUGAGGCCUCGCCGCAAAAGGGUGGAGGAGGAGGAGAGGAAAAGGAGGCCUCCUUUCCUGCCCCGCUGCUGGUGCCCAGGCCGGCCGGCCGGCCUGCCCGCCUCCCUCCCGAGGCCGCCGGUGGAAGAUGGCGUGGGUGCUGAAGAUGGACGAAGUGAUCGAGUCCGGCCUCGCGCACGACUUCGACGCCAGCCUCUCCGGCAUCGGGCAAGAGCUGGGCGCCGGCGCUUAUAGCAUGAGUGAUGUUCUGGCACUGCCCAUUUUCAAGCAAGAAGACUCCAGCCUUCCACCUGACAGUGACACAAAACAUCCACCAUUUCAGUAUGUUAUGUGUGCUGCAACAUCUCCAGCUGUCAAACUGCAUGAUGAAACGCUUACUUACUUAAACCAAGGUCAGUCCUACGAAAUCCGGCUGUUAGAUAAUAGAAAAAUGGGAGAUAUGCCAGAGAUCAAUGGGAAAAUGGUGAAGAGUAUUAUAAGAGUUGUGUUCCAUGACAGAAGACUGCAGUAUACUGAGCAUCAGCAACUUGAAGGUUGGAAGUGGAAUCGCCCUGGAGACAGAUUACUUGAUUUAGAUAUUCCUAUGUCAGUUGGAGUAAGCGAUAUAAAGACAAAUCCAAGCCAGCUUAAUGCAGUUGAAUUUCUGUGGGAUCCUGGAAAACGAACAUCUGCCUUUAUUCAGGUACAUUGUAUCAGCACUGAAUUUACACCUCGUAAACAUGGAGGUGAAAAAGGAGUUCCUUUUAGGAUUCAGGUUGACACUUUUAAACAGACAGAAAAUGGAGAAUACACUGAUCAUUUGCAUUCGGCCAGCUGCCAAAUCAAAGUUUUUAAGCCAAAAGGGGCAGAUAGAAAACAGAAAACAGACAGAGAAAAAAUGGAGAAACGAACUGCUCAUGAAAAAGAAAAAUAUCAACCUUCAUAUGACACUACAAUUCUCACAGAGAUGAGGCUUGAGCCUAUAAUUGAAGAUGCAGUUGAACAUGAGCAGAAAAAGUCCAGCAAGCGGACUUUGCCAGCAGACUACGGUGAUUCUCUGGCAAAGCGAGGCAGUUGUUCACCGUGGCCUGAUACAUCUACUGCAUUUGUGAACAGUAGCCCUACCCCAACUCCGACGUUUGCCUCUACUCCACAUAGUACUACUUACAGUGUCCCAGACAGCAAUUCAUCAUCUCCAAAUCACCAAGGAGAUGGAAUUCCUCAAGUAUCGGGAGAGCAACUUCAUCCAUCAGCCACAAUCCAAGAAGCCCAACAAUGGUUGCUUAAACAUAGAUUUUCCACUUACACAAGGCUGUUUUCAAAUUUCUCAGGUGCUGAUUUACUGAAGCUUACAAGAGAAGAUCUGGUACAAAUCUGUGGUCCAGCUGAUGGAAUUCGGCUUUACAAUGCACUUAAAUCAAGGUCUGUUAGGCCACGUCUAACAAUCUAUGUAUGCCAAGAGCAAUCAAGAAGUCUACAACUUGAAAGGCAGCAAGACUCAGGAAGUGGAGAGAGCAGGAAUGGUGCAAUAUAUGUUUAUCAUGCAAUCUACCUGGAAGAAAUGGCUGCCUCUGAAGUCACGCGCAAACUUGCGUUGGUGUUCAAUAUUCCUUUGCAUCAGAUCAACCAGGUUUACAGACAGGGUCCUACUGGCAUCCAUAUUCUCGUCAGUGACCAGACUCAUCAAUUUCUCCUCCAUUCCCCCAUUAACCCCCUAUGAUUCCCUUCCCAACUGCAUUUCUGAAGCCACUUUGUAACUUGUUUUCUGCGGCUUUGCUUUGUGCCAGUUUUCACCUUCAGCCCCCAUGUCUGUGCCUCCACCACCACUACUUUUUCUGAAACCCCCUGCCAUUUAAUAUAGAUGGUAAUACAUGGUAACCUUUUGCAUCUUUGUCCUUCCGACACCUUGCAGCUACAAAGCACCCUUUUCAACUUGCACCCAAUUUAUGCAACCACCAUCCCCUCCUAUUCUGCAGGCCCAUUAAUGCCCCUGCUUUUAUCUUCACCCCCGUUGCUAUGCCACCUAAUCACUCCUGUUUUGCACCCCCUCUUUUUUCAACUCCAACUUGCACACAGACCAUCCCCAUUUCCAUGCUUCAUUCUCUCUCUUGUUCUGCAGCCCCAUUUAUGCCCAAAGCACAUGUUGAUGUAUAGUACUGUAGCUUUAAGAUAGAAUCUCAAGACGAAGCCUGCCAGUUAGCUUGUUCGGUUAAAGGUUCUGUUCAGUUGAUGGCUAUUGUACAUUGGAGUGUUCGCUUGUUAAUGAAAUAUCUCUUUUAAAUUACUACACUGAACCUGGAACGUCAUGUUGAAGACAGAAGAAUGAAAUACAUUGUGUGAGCAUAUGGGAUAUUUGAGGGGUCUGCAUCCAUUAUUUCUCACAUAGCACAGUUGAGGGAUGGAAGUUGAAGAUGAAUGAAAAAGUAGAUGUGGAUGCUUUAAACAACUGCAGAAAUUUAAGUAUGUAAAGCAGGGGAUUGAGAGACACCACAAAUAUUCAAGCAGGGUCUGCACAAUUAUAUUCUUAGGUUCAUAGAGAUAUAAAGACCAAGACACCCACACAUGGCCACAUCACUGUCACUCGUCAUUGAGCACAGUAGUUUUAUUUUUUAAAAAAAAUACCAUGCAAACAUAAUAAUGGCACUUUAGAGUAUUGAGGCUCAGGUUGCUGCUUGUAAAACAGCUUGGCUCUCCUUGCGGCAAUUUUGGGUGAUGCAUGAAACUUGGGUACACUGCUAUGCAUGUUGCCAGCAUGUAGCUGCAUUUACUUGUCUUUCUUCCUAGAUGGUUCAAAACUUUGAAGAUGAAAGCUGCUUCUUAGUUACCACAAUAAAAGCUGAAAAUGGCGAAGGCUUCCAUAUAAUUUUGAAGUGAUGUUGCCAUACAAUAUAAUGGACUGAUAUUCCAGUAUAGAAUGAAGUCAUGCUCAAGAAUGACAAAUAACAUCGUCUCUUCAGGGAUCUGACUUCACCGUAUAGAAUGUUUCAUAUUGAAAACACAAGGUGACCUUUCUAAUGAGCUGUUUAGUAGAUGAACUUCCCACUGCCAUAGCCAAAAGUCCUCAUAAGAGGUAACAAUGCCGAAAUAGCUAACGUACAGGCAUGGAAAAAACAAAGGUGUUUGCCCUUUUUAAAAUUAAGGCAAGCUAUGGCCAGUAGAUGCAGUUUGUAGAAGCGUUACUGCUUUCCUAUUACACUGUAUCCAGUUUGAAUGUAAACUUAUUCUGGGCAUUUACCUUUCUGUGCCAGUUUGUCUAUUACUCGCUUGUACCUUUAUGCUGAUUUUAUUUUUUGAUGUUAGCAGAGCACAUAGUAAUUUGUGUGGAAAUAAGUAGUAAAAAUGAUAGCAAUCAGGUUUUGGGUCUUGAGAGUGAAGCUGUCAAAACAGCAUCCUCUGUGUAAAUUGUGUAUAAGCGUGAAUGUAAGAAGUGUAAAUGUCAAAAGGUGGACUUGCUGAAAGUCCUAGACAGAUGAAAAUUAAGCAUGCAGCAGACCACCUCAUCAUCAGUACCUAUUUGAGAGGAUAAGAAGAAAUCCUGUGAGGUACAAUAUUUUGCUUUGUAAUAGGCAUGUUACAGAAAAUCUGCCUAUGCAUCAUGUCUUUUUUAGUUUUUCUUUAAAGCACUACCGCAGCAUUUCAAUAUUUCACGUUUUGAACCACACUAUUAUUAAUAAUAGUGAGUUGGGACUUCCUCAUGGAGAAAAAGGGAAUGUCACUGGCACCAAGGGACUAUUCUGAAGCAUUAAGCAAGAAUCUACAAAUCAAAUGUUGAUUUUGGUUACCGCUCUAGUUGAAAACCAGGAUCUUCCCAUGUGUGAACUGUUUGUUGCUUCUUUUCUCUGACUCUUGUGGAAAACCAUAGUUACAGUGCCUCUUCCAUACAACCAAAUACUUGAUUAGCAGUUGCACAACUUAAUGAAUGAGCUGCAAAAAUGUCCUUAAAUGUUGGCUGAAGAGCAGAUAACUAUCCAAGGACAGGUGCACAUGUCUGCUCUGCAUUUAUAUAGGUUUGUGGGAGAUUCAGACAGAGAAUGCUGGUUAUUCCGUCAUGGUAGGUAGCUUGCCCCUUAAUCAAAUACAGUGGUACCUCGACAUCCAAAUGACUAGACUUCUGAAGGUUUCACCUUCCAAAGUCGACAAACCCGGAAAUCUUUUCGCCGUGCACGCAUUCUGCGCCUACGCAGAAGCACAAAAUCCGUGGAACGGAUCACCUUCGUAAGUUGAGGUACCACUGUAGCUAAAAUCUUAACUGAUGUAGUGAAUAUUUGAAGGUGGGAAGAGCAGCAUGUCAAUACUGUUCUUAAUUUCACUCCCAUUUAUAAUUAUGCCUAGGUUAAUAAGUCUUUAUGUUAAGAAUGUUGUUUCACUCCUAGAGUAGGAUGAGGGCUUACUCCCCACCCCCCACGACCUAUUCUGCACUGAUGGGGAAGGAGAGUAGAGUAGAGUUUGUGAGCAUACUUAAGUUUUUCUUGCCUAUAAAUUAUUUUGGUUGUACUUGGGUGUCUUCAAUGAACUUGAUGCAUCAUCUCAUUUUUCUAAUCUGUGGAGAAUCUGAAAAAUGUCACUAAAUUAUAAAAGCUGUACAGUAGUUUGGUUCACUUGGAUUUAAUUAUGGCACCAGCAAAUUGCUUUUUGUUUUUAAAUAAGAUGUAUACAUUUCAAUUUCAGUAAAAAACAUUUUCCAAUAAUUAUUGUAUAUUUCCUCACUUGCAAAGCAAUACUGAAGUACAGGUGGUGCUGAGAUCGUUUUGUUUGGACAGAAGCUUUCCACCCAUUUUCAGCUACUCUGUCUUUUUUUGGGGGGGGGGGGGGCGGCGACUGAAACCAGCCUAAAUAGGGUUGCCUUUAUUUAAUAGUGUACCAAAUUUUUUCACUUGGAGCAAGUACCUUUUUAAUAACUGGAAUUUCAUAAACUUUACCUCUUAAGAGUUGAAUACAUAUCAAAACAAUUUUGUUUGGCAAGCUAUUAGAUUUCCCCCCGUAACAGUUUAAAUUACCAUAGACAGAUAGUCUGCAGAAUAUCCCUCUCUUAACAGAAAAAGAAAUACAUUUUCCAUUGUUGGCAAUCAAUGUAAGGCAUAACCUAGCUAAAGUAGUCUUAAGACAUCAGUACCUAGUUUUUGCAGUGCAUUUCCAAUCAUACAUUUUUUCCUCAAUUUGAUUACCCCCUUAGCUGAAAUGAACUGAUUCCUUUAAUUUUCAGUGUACUGUGAACAUAAGAGUUCAGGGCAUACACUAGCUAUGUUAAUACAGUGGUGCCUUGGUUUACAACCAUAAUCCGGUCCAGUUGUAAACCAAAAAAGGUUGUAACCCAAGGCGCACUUUCGCCAAUGCCAACCCCCCCCCAA